AACAGUUUAUCAUACAAAGAAGGCUUGUAGUUGUAGAAUCCUUUCAUGAUUAUUUGGCAUGGGCUUUCUUUUCUUGUUUGGCAUAUGGUGGAUCUCAUCUCAUGUGAAAUGACCAAUCAAUUCAAGUAACAAAAUGUGAAAGCCAAAUAGAAACCAGCUGGACAACACUAAAGGCUUGGAAAAGUGGCUAUAAAGUUACCCAAAAUAAAGAGAUGUUUUAUUUAAAUAAAAUAGGGUUUUAUCCCUAUAAAAAUGUGUGUACUUGAAAACUUGGGAUCUUCCCAUAUGUUUAAUAUUAUAAAAGCAUGGUAUU
rnacentral:lncRNA from 1 species